rnacentral:rRNA from 1 species
AGCGGAGAAAUUCCAAUCGAACCUGGAGAUAGCUGGUUCUCUCCGAAAUAGCUUUAGGGCUAGCCUCAAGUGAUGAUUAUUGGAGGUAGAGCACUGUUUGGACGAGGGGCCCCUCUCGGGUUACCGAAUUCAGACAAACUCCGAAUGCCAAUUAAUUUAACUUGGGAGUCAGAACAUGGGUGAUAAGGCCCGUGUUCGAAAGGGAAACAGCCCAGACCACCAGCUAAGGUCCCAAAAUAUAUGUUAAGUGGAAAAGGAUGUGGCGUUGCCCAGACAACUAGGAUGUUGGCUUAGAAGCAGCCAUCAUUUAAAGAGUGCGUAAUAGCUCACUAGUCGAGUGACACUGCGCCGAAAAUGUACCGGGGCUAAACAUAUUA